rnacentral:lncRNA from 1 species
GUCACUUCCUGUUGCCACAGUUGAAUGGCAGGUGCCAGUGGGUGUCACUUCCUGUUGCCAGUUGCCGUUUGAGGAUCGAACCCUUACUGAAAUUGACUGUACAACGGCCGUAUCAGGGCUUUUACCACCGUAAAAAGCGAUAUAUAUUGAGUAAAAGCUUACUUUUACUCAAUAAUGUGUGUAUUUAUGUAUACAUGUAUUUUGUAUUUUGUAUUAAACACCUUCCUCAGUGUAAAUAAAUUCACUUGACGCCGAAUGCUAUUCCAGGAGGCAGGCUAAGCAGAGUCUAUGUAUAUACGUCUGUCAUUAUCAGUACAGUGAUGGUGGCACCCAGAGCUACAAAGAAGCGCUAUGGUGUAACCUCAUUGGCUGGUGACCUGGCAUGGUGGUUCGAGAGGUGUGGCCCUGCGUUCCACACUGUUUUUGAUGGAUGCCACGAGCUCCUCCCCUCCGUCCCCCCACAGCUGAAGACGGUGGGUGUGUUCUUAAACGUGGGCGGGUCGUCCCUCACCUUCCACAACCCUUUAACUCAAGAACUUCUCGCCGCCAUACCCGCCCGCUUUACCCCGCCCCUUUCCCCUGCCAUUCAGCUGGGCCACGGCAAGCUUAAGCUCCGCCCAGGCCUGCCACCUCCAAGCCAUGUCUUCUCGAGCUGUGGCUCGGCCUAUAGAGGUCCAGGAGGGGCGGGGCGGGGUCGAUGGAGGCAGGACGUCACCUUCAGCUCCGUGAGGACCGUGAUUCACAAGUUUGAGGAGAUGGCGGCAUCCGAAAGUGACUCAGGACUGAUGUCGAGUUUUAGCUCCAGCUCCACCCUGGCCUCCCUACCUGAGCCCAGCUGUGGCCUGGAGAGAGCGCACCCUUCUGGGCAAGAACCAUAGACAGCGCUGAGGUUAUCCUUAUUAAAUAGCUUAUAAAAUAGCUAAAUGUGGAACUGUGAAUCAACAAUGUUAUUCUUAAUGGGAAAAUUGGGACAAUUCUGUAAUUCUAAGGGAGAAUCACACUUUUUCAGCAGUUUCUGGUAAUUCUUCAGAAUGUUGAGAAACUCUCAGAAUUAGUAUUUAUUUAAAACCGCUUGAUCAAAGAGAGUGUUAGCUGCUUUAAAAAAGAGCUUCAUUUUUCAUGGAGUUUUAUUUGUUGUGACAUAUUUUGUUUUAUCAGUAGCUUCAUAUGUCCAAAAUUGCAAUUUUACAGAAAAUAGGAAAAACAUCUUAACUUUCAAUAAAAGUCAAUGGAAAAUAUUUAAUUCUAAGUUA